UAUGCUUGUCCCGAAGCUUAAGCCAUGCAUGUCUAAGAACGAUAGUAGCUUGAUCUAGAAUCUGCGAACGGCUCCGUAUAUCUGUUAUAACCCAGCGCCGCCCAUUCCCAGCGGCAUAACCACGGUAAUUCUGUGGCUAAUACGUGUAAACCUAACCCCCGCCCUAUCAAACGGGCGGGGGCGGUCUUGCGGCGCGACCAAUGAGGGGCAACCUUCGGCGUGAGAGCAUGCAAGUGCACCUGACCGGCCUUCAAGGCCGGCCCGUGCGAUGGGCGCCAGACCUAUCAACUAGAUGGCCGUCCAAGUUACGGCCAUGGUUAUAACGGGUACAGAGGAUCAGGGUUCGGUCCUGGAGAGGUAGCCUGAGAGAUCGCUACUACUUCUAAGGAAGGCAGCAGGCGCGCAACGUUCCCAAUGGGGAUACCCUGAGGACGUAAAGGGACAUACCAAUGGCCGCCCUUUAAAGGCGGCCAAUUGGAAUGGGGGACCCUUAAACCCCACACCGAGUAACAAUUGGAGG
rnacentral:rRNA from 1 species